ACUCAAAUGAAUUGACGGGGGUCCGCACAAGCGGUGGAACAUGUGGUUUAAUUCGACACUACGCGAGGAACCUUACCUGGACUUGACAUGCUCUGAUCGCCAUAGAGAUAUGGUUUUUUAAGCUUCGGUUUAAACAGAUGCACAGGUGCUGCAUGGCUGUCGUCAGCUCGUGUCGUGAGAUGUUAGGUUAAGUCCUCUAACGAGCGCAACCCUUGCCAUCAGUUGCUAACUACUUUGUAGUGCACUCUGAUGGGACUGCCUGGGAAACCAGGAGGAAGGUGGGGACGACGUCAAGUCAUCAUGGUCCUUAUGUCCAGGGCUACACACGUGUUACAAUGGUCGGUACAAAGGGUAGCAAUUCCGUAAGGAGGAGCCAAUCUCAGAAAGCCGAUCUAAGUUCGGAUUGAGGUCUGCAACUCGACCUCAUGAAGUUGAAAUCGCUAGUAAUCGCGCAUCAGAACGGCGCGGUGAAUACGUUCUCGGACCUUGUACACACCGCCCGU
rnacentral:rRNA from 1 species